rnacentral:lncRNA from 13 species
AUUGGUCUCAGACUGAGGGGGGGACAGGAUCUUCUUUUUUUCCUGGUUCAGUGGUCGUGUUGAGGGCCACGUCCGGUUUCAGCUCCUUCCCUGGCUCCAUAGUCCUACAUGUCAGAGGGCACAGGCAGUCCGACUCAUCAAUGGAAGUACAUGGCAUAAAAGCUCAUUGAUCCUGCUGUAUGUCAUACUCCCCCUGUUUGCACUGUAUUUUGUAGCAGUUUACUCAACCAUCCAGCAGAGUGAUACACUAAAUAACUGCAUGGAUUUGUUCUUGUUGGGAAACAUCCCAAUGGUAGGUCUAUGNNNNNNNNNNCUCUCUCUCUCUCUCUCUCUCUCCCUCCUAGUCCUACUCAAUGGCCCCUACUUUAUUCCCCAAUGUCCCUACCACCCUACCCAAUCCACUCUACUUGUAGGCCAGAUAUUCUACGGGCUUCAGCAUGCAGAGGACACGUGUACUCACACCUGUGUCAGUCUACGUUACCAC